AUGAACGCUAGCUACAGGCUUAACACAUGCAAGUCGAGGGGCAGCAUGGCCUUAGCUUGCUAAGACUGAUGGCGACCGGCGCACGGGUGAGUAACACGUAUCCAACCUGCCGUCUACUCUUGGACAGCCUUCUGAAAGGAAGAUUAAUACAAGAUGGCAUCAUGAGUCCGCAUGUUCACAUGAUUAAAGGUAUUCCGGUAGACGAUGGGGAUGCGUUCCAUUAGAUAGUAGGCGGGGUAACGGCCCACCUAGUCUUCGAUGGAUAGGGGUUCUGAGAGGAAGGUCCCCCACAUUGGAACUGAGACACGGUCCAAACUCCUACGGGAGGCAGCAGUGAGGAAUAUUGGUCAAUGGGCGAGAGCCUGAACCAGCCAAGUAGCGUGAAGGAUGACUGCCCUAUGGGUUGUAAACUUCUUUUAUAAAGGAAUAAAGUCGGGUAUGCAUACCCGUUUGCAUGUACUUUAUGAAUAAGGAUCGGCUAACUCCGUGCCAGCAGCCGCGGUAAUACGGAGGAUCCGAGCGUUAUCCGGAUUUAUUGGGUUUAAAGGGAGCGUAGAUGGAUGUUUAAGUCAGUUGUGAAAGUUUGCGGCUCAACCGUAAAAUUGCAGUUGAUACUGGAUAUCUUGAGUGCAGUUGAGGCAGGCGGAAUUCGUGGUGUAGCGGUGAAAUGCUUAGAUAUCACGAAGAACUCCGAUUGCGAAGGCAGCCUGCUAAGCUGCAACUGACAUUGAGGCUCGAAAGUGUGGGUAUCAAACAGGAUUAGAUACCCUGGUAGUCCACACGGUAAACGAUGAAUACUCGCUGUUUGCGAUAUACGGCAAGCGGCCAAGCGAAAGCGUUAAGUAUUCCACCUGGGGAGUACGCCGGCAACGGUGAAACUCAAAGGAAUUGACGGGGGCCCGCACAAGCGGAGGAACAUGUGGUUUAAUUCGAUGAUACGCGAGGAACCUUACCCGGGCUUAAAUUGCAGAUGAAUUACGGUGAAAGCCGUAAGCCGCAAGGCAUCUGUGAAGGUGCUGCAUGGUUGUCGUCAGCUCGUGCCGUGAGGUGUCGGCUUAAGUGCCAUAACGAGCGCAACCCUUGUUGUCAGUUACUAACAGGUUCCGCUGAGGACUCUGACAAGACUGCCAUCGUAAGAUGUGAGGAAGGUGGGGAUGACGUCAAAUCAGCACGGCCCUUACGUCCGGGGCUACACACGUGUUACAAUGGGGGGUACAGAGGGCCGCUACCACGCGAGUGGAUGCCAAUCCCAAAAACCUCUCUCAGUUCGGACUGGAGUCUGCAACCCGACUCCACGAAGCUGGAUUCGCUAGUAAUCGCGCAUCAGCCACGGCGCGGUGAAUACGUUCCCGGGCCUUGUACACACCGCCCGUCAAGCCAUGGGAGCCGGGGGUACCUGAAGUGCGUAACCGCGAGGAGCGCCCUAGGGUAAAACUGGUGACUGGGGCU
rnacentral:rRNA from 1 species